GACGAACGCUGGCGGCGUGCCUAAUACAUGCAAGUUGAGCGCUGAAGGUUGGUACUUGUACCAACUGGAUGAGCAGCGAACGGGUGAGUAACGCGUGGGGAAUCUGCCUUUGAGCGGGGGACAACAUUUGGAAACGAAUGCUAAUACCGCAUAAAAACUUUAAACACAAGUAUUAAGUUUGAAAGAUGCAAUUGCAUCACUCAAAGAUGAUCCCGCGUUGUAUUAGCUAGUUGGUGAGGUAAAGGCUCACCAAGGCGAUGAUACAUAGCCGACCUGAGAGGGUGAUCGGCCACAUUGGGACUGGGACACGGCCCAAACUCCUACGGGAGGCAGCAGUAGGGAAUCUUCGGCAAUGGACGAAAGUCUGACCGAGCAACGCCGCGUGAGUGAAGAAGGUUUUCGGAUCGUAAAACUCUGUUGGUAGAGAAGAACGUUGGUGAGAGUGGAAAGCUCAUCAAGUGACGGUAACUACCCAGAAAGGGACGGCUAACUACGUG
rnacentral:rRNA from 1 species